GAUGAUAUUAGCAUUGGGUCUUUGACAUAUGGCUUGUAUGAUCUCGAGGUAUGAUUCUUCUAUCCCUACUUAAGAGUUUUUAUCAAGAAAGGAUGCUGUAUUUUGUCAAAUGCUUUCUCUGCAUCUGUUGAGAGGAUUAUGUGGUUCUUGUCCUUUCUUUUAUUGAUGUGAUGAAUCAUAUUGAUUGUUUUGCAGAUAUUGAACCAGCCCUGCAUCCCAGGUAUAAAUCCCACUUGGUCGUGCAGUCCAGAUUCAACCACAAUGCUAUCUUCUUUUUGAAACUUCAACGGACAUUCUUCUAACAAAGUCUCCACAAUGUAAACUCUAUGAGAACAGAGGCCUUGCAUUUCCAGUCUGGGACGAGUUGAGAAGAUGUGUCAAGAAAAAUCUCUUUCUAUACUCUGGCCUCCAGAGAAAGGGGAACACAGAAGAACUGGUACCUCCAAAGAUAGGAAGAACUGAAAGAAGGAAAGGAGGAGGGAAGAAAGUGGAGAGGAGAAGACAGAAGAGGAGGAAAAAGAGAGAAAAAGGAGGUAGGAAAAAAGGAAGGGAAGGAGGCACGGAAGAGAAGGAAAGGAAAAGAGAAAGAAGAGAAGGAAAGAAUAAAGGAAAGAAAGAGAGUCUACAAACUAAGGAGGGUUUUGUGGGAGAAAACGCUAGG